GCACAGUGGGAGCUGAGAUCCCGCCACUUCACUCCAGCCUGAGCAACAGAGCCUGUCUCAAAGGAAAAAAAAAAAAAAAAGUAGUGCAGGUUUUUAACAUUAGUUAUGUGUUGAAAUAGUAUUUUUAGCAUAUUGAAUUAAAAGUAUGAUCGAAAUUCACUUGUUUCUUUUUAAUGUUGCUAUUAGAAAAUGUAUAAUUUCACAUGUUGCUGGCAUUCUGUUUCUGUCGGCCAGGACUGCUCUAGAGGCAAGGAUGGUUUUCCCAGUCUUAACUCCUCAUUAUACUCAGUACUUUGAGAAAGGGGGCACAGAAUUAUACUACUGUGGUUGCGUUAGGUACUUUAUAUUAGAUUUUUAUCUUUUGUUAACCUUAUUUCCUCUAUUAUUAGCAUCAUACACUAAGCAUGGUGUAUAUAUCAAAAUUAAUGAGCCAAAAUAAUAUAGAUUAUUAAUUAUAGUUAUUAUAUUAGUUUAUAAUACAUUACUGUUAACUAAGGUUCAUGCUUCAUUGAGAUUUCCUCGGCUUUUACCUGCUGUUCUGUUCCAGGGUCCCACAUGACAAGUAGUCUUCAUGCCUCCUUAGGCAUGUUUUGGCUGUGACAAUUUCUCAGACUUGUUUUGAUGAUCAUGAGUGUUUGAGGCGUCCCGGGUUCAAGCGAUUCUACUGCCUGAGUCUCCCGAGUUCAAGCGAUUCUCCUG
rnacentral:lncRNA from 1 species